GACGAAUGCUGGCGGCGUGCUUAACACAUGCAAGUCGAACGGUAAGGCUCCAGCUUGCUGGGGUACACGAGUGGCGAACGGGUGAGUAACACGUGGGUGACCUGCCCUGCACUUCGGGAUAAGCCUGGGAAACUGGGUCUAAUACCGGAUAGGACCGCACCGUGAGGGUGUGGUGGAAAGUUUUUUCGGUGUGGGAUGGGCCCGCGGCCUAUCAGCUUGUUGGUGGGGUAAUGGCCUACCAAGGCGGCGACGGGUAGCCGGCCUGAGAGGGUGGACGGCCACAUUGGGACUGAGACACGGCCCAGACUCCUGCGGGAGGCAGCAGUGGGGAAUAUUGCACAAUGGGCGGAAGCCUGAUGCAGCGACGCCGCGUGGGGGAUGACGGCCUUCGGGUUGUAAACUCCUUUCACCAUCGACGAAGGGUUUCUGACGGUAGAUGGAGAAGAAGCACCGGCUAACUACGUGCCAGCAGCCGCGGUAAUACGUAGGGUGCGAGCGUUGUCCGGAAUUACUGGGCGUAAAGAGCUCGUAGGUGGUUUGUCGCGUCGUCUGUGAAAUUCCGGGGCUUAACUCCGGGCGUGCAGGCGAUACGGGCAUAACUUGAGUACUGUAGGGGAGACUGGAAUUCCUGGUGCAGCGGUGAAAUGCGCAGAUAUCAGGAGGAACACCGAUGGCGAAGGCAGGUUACUGGGCAGUUACUGACGCUGAGGAGCGAAAGCAUGGGUAGCGAACAGGAUUAGAUACCCUGGUAGUCCAUGCCGUAAACGGUGGGCGCUAGGUGUGAGGGUCUUUCUACGACUUUCGUGCCGUAGCUAACGCAUUAAGCGCCCCGCCUGGGGAGUACGGCCGCAAGGCUAAAACUCAAAGGAAUUGACGGGGGCCCGCACAAGCGGCGGAGCAUGUGGAUUAAUUCGAUGCAACGCGAAGAACCUUACCUGGGCUUGACAUACACCAGAUUGGGCUAGAGAUAGUUCGUCCCUUUGUGGUUGGUGUACAGGUGGUGCAUGGUUGUCGUCAGCUCGUGUCGUGAGAUGUUGGGUUAAGUCCCGCAACGAGCGCAACCCUUGUCUUAUGUUGCCAGCAUUUGGUUGGGGACUCAUGAGAGACUGCCGGGGUUAACUCGGAGGAAGGUGGGGAUGACGUCAAAUCAUCAUGCCCCUUAUGUCCAGGGCUUCACACAUGCUACAAUGGUCGGUACAACGCGCUGCGACACUGUGAGGUGGAGCGAAUCGCUGAAAGCCGGCCUUAGUUCGGAUUGGGGUCUGCAACUCGACCCCAUGAAGUCGGAGUCGCUAGUAAUCGCAGAUCAGCAAUGCUGCGGUGAAUACGUUCCCGGGCCU
rnacentral:rRNA from 1 species